rnacentral:lncRNA from 1 species
ACAUUGUGCUGCGUAAAGAGAGGAGCACACCCAGCUGGGCGAAAGAAAUACAGUACACGGUCUCUCUGCAGGUCUUCUCACUUCUGAUAGUUGGAACAGAGAAGAAAUUCAAGCGGUGUUAUCUCCGAUCUGAGACAGAAACGGGGAGAGGAAUAAAGAAGAAGUCACAAAGAGACUAAGAAUGGGACACAAAAUUAGCAGAUUUUGGAGAUUCUUUCUGCCACCGUUACGAUGUAAAUGAGGAGAGCUGCUCCCACUACUUAAUAAUGAUUUUGAAUUGGCUUUGGGUUUGAGCUGGAAAAUUAAGACAUCCUCAAUACUAAGAGAAGGAGCUUUAGGAGCCAAACGUGACAGUAGUAGACCUACUAAAGAUACCAGGUUCCUACAGAUUUCGGGGAAGAACUGUUUGAGACCUCUCUGA